rnacentral:tmRNA from 2 species
GGGGGCGUAAAGGUUUCGACGGGGAUUCUGACGGCGAAUAAGCGAGUAGAGAAAGCGCCAAUCUCUUAAAAUGACGCAACUUAAAAAUUAAACGACAAUAAUAGUUUAGAAUUGGCUGCUGCUUAAUAGCAGCCCGUCCUGCCGGUGAGUACUGCGGCACCGGUUUGGGCGUCGAUUAGCAGUGAACGCCGCGCGGCGACUCCGGUAGCCAUGCGGUGCAUUUCCGGAUACCGAGGCAUAGAGCUUGCUUGUCAGCGCUUGCCGAGGGAAGCUAAAGGAUAAGCUACACUCGUAGAAGGUUUUCCGAAGGGGUUUUCGGACACGGGUUCGACUCCCGUCGCCUCCACCA